CAGCUCUCCCUGUUUGCGUCCCAGAAGCCUCGAAGGGUGGGGUGGGGGCACAAACCAGGGCCCCUCAGAGGCUGACAGUGAGCCCCCCACAGCCCCUCCUGCCCACAGCCAAAUCUCUGAACACUCAGCCAGCCUGGCUUCCUUGGGUUCCUGCAUCACCUUUGCAUGUCUCUGUACUCUGCAUUGCUCUACUUCAAUUCUUUUGCCAUUGGAUAAAAUGGAGCACACCACCAAAUUACAAAACAGGGCAACAGAAGCAGUCAGAGGACAGAGCACGUCUCUUCUGAGGACAAGCUGAGACACCAGGAGUUAUUCAGCCUAGAGGAGAACAGGCCCCAGGGAGACUUCAUUGCUAUGUUCCAGUAUUUCAAAGGAGAUUCUCAGGAAGUAGGGGACACCUUUUUUAACAGUUGCAAUAGGACAUGAGAUAAUAUUUAUAAUAUAUAAUGGGGAUUGAGUCAGAUUAGGUCUAAGGAAGAUCUUGUUUACUUGGAACAUGAUGCAACCCUGACACAGGUUGCCCUUAGAGAUGGCAGGUGCCCCAUCCCUGGGCAGGGAUGGGGCAAACAUUCCAUGGUAGGUGGGAAGGGGAUCUGAGCAACCUGAUCUCUUUAAAGAUGUCCCUGCGCAUUGCAGGACACUUGCACCAGAUGACCUUUACAGGGCCCUGCCAGCCCAGCCCAGUCUAGGACUCCUCGCCAUUUUCAUUUCAAGAGCACCAAGAGUGGAGGAGCUCCUUGGCAGACCAGCGCUGCUCCUUGUCUGUCUGCAGGCAGCAGCUCAGGAAGUCACACAGCCAAGGUGAAAACAGGUUGGGCUGCAGCAGCUUUGGUAUCCCUCGUCUGGCUAUCACGAGUCGAGGCUGGGGAAAAGGAAACACGAGUCUCCACCUGCUGCUUUCACAUCUGUAACUGCUCUCCCACAUCCCACUGUUUAACCCCUGUUCUUCGGUGGCAGUUUCUGCCCUGGCAGAGACCCAGAGAUGCCUUUCCUUUACCAACCAAACACCCAAACCCCAAUGCAGCCACAGCUUUUCCAACAUUCAGCAGAUCUUGCCUUGGCAGCUGAUUUCAUUGACUGACCUACUCAGUGGGAACUACAUCACCAAAAGCAUGUUUUGUUUCUCUGAGGAUUCACACAUACCUGACAGGCAAUUUGGAAGGGGAGGUUUGCUCUAUCUAUACUAUUUCCAAGGAUUAUUACAUGAAAAGAAUCUCUGCAGUGCUUGUUGGUCCCUUAAGCACAGCUGCCAUAAAACAAAAAUCAUCAAGGUUUUUUUUUCUCCUCUUUUAAAAAAUGCAGAAGCAGAAUCCAUCUAAAAUAGACAGCAAUAACAAUGGAAAGAGGCCUUGGAGUCUCCAUGAAAGUGCCUGCCACCAUAGUAAGAGCUCUGUGC